rnacentral:rRNA from 1 species
AGAGUUUGAUUCGGGCUCAGAUUGAACGCUGGCGGCAGGCUUAACACAUGCAAGUCGAGCGGCAGCGGAAAGAAGCUUGCUUCUUUGCCGGCGAGCGGCGGACGGGUGAGUAAUGUCUGGGGAUCUGCCCGAUGGAGGGGGAUAACUACUGGAAACGGUAGCUAAUACCGCAUAAUGUCGCAAGACCAAAGUGGGGGACCUUCGGGCCUCACACCAUCGGAUGAACCCAGAUGGGAUUAGCUAGUAGGUGGGGUAAUGGCUCACCUAGGCGACGAUCCCUAGCUGGUCUGAGAGGAUGACCAGCCACACUGGAACUGAGACACGGUCCAGACUCCUACGGGAGGCAGCAGUGGGGAAUAUUGCACAAUAGGGGAAACCCUGAUGCAGCCAUGCCGCGUGUGUGAAGAAGGCCUUCGGGUUGUAAAGCACUUUCAGCGGGGAGGAAGGCAAUGGCGUUAAUAGUGUCAUUGAUUGACGUUACCCGCAGAAGAAGCACCGGCUAACUCCGUGCCAGCAGCCGCGGUAAUACGGAGGGUGCGAGCGUUAAUCGGAAUUACUGGGCGUAAAGCGUACGCAGGCGGUCUGUUAAGUCAGAUGUGAAAUCCCCGGGCUUAACCUGGGAACUGCAUUUGAAACUGGCAGGCUAGAGUCUCGUAGAGGGGGGUAGAAUUCCAGGUGUAGCGGUGAAAUGCGUAGAGAUCUGGAGGAAUACCGGUGGCGAAGGCGGCCCCCUGGACGAAGACUGACGCUCAGGUACGAAAGCGUGGGGAGCAAACAGGAUUAGAUACCCUGGUAGUCCACGCUGUAAACGAUGUCGAUUUGAAGGUUGUGGUCUUGAGCCGUGGCUUUCGGAGCUAACGCGUUAAUCGACCGCCUGGGGAGUACGGCCGCAAGGUU